GGGGAUUUAGCUCAGUGGUAGAGCACUUGCCUAGCAGGUGCAAGGCCCUGGGUUCGGUCCCCAGCUCCG
rnacentral:tRNA from 1 species